AUAUAUCUGUUCUGGUGGCUCUGCGACGAUUAUCUGUAUCUGGUGACUCUGUCACAUUAUCUAUUCUGGCAGCCAUGCUGCAAAUUCUGUGGUGUGUAGCGGUUGGGUGGGUCGAGUUGUCUCCCCACACGAUGUAAGGUUGGUACGGGGGUGUAUACGGUUGGAUAUGGUUGGGUUUCUGCAUAAACAUGUAAUCCCCAACCAUAGUGGGCUUGGAGCUGUGAGGGAAUUCGGAGUGGCCACCUAUUCUGAAAGUUUGAUUUUCUUCUGGUGAACUGGACAUCCUUUUAUUUACGUUUGAAGUUUUGGGUUUUUAAAUGUAAUAAGGCCGCUUAUUUAUUUUUGAUGGUUUUUUUUAUAUGUAUUACUAAGAUAAGUAAUACUUAUUUUAACUGUUGAAAUUGGAUAGCUUUAGGGCGCGUUUUCAAAAACAA